GACGAACGCUGGCGGCGUGCUUAACACAUGCCAGUCGAACGGAAAGGCCCUGCUUUUGUGGGGUGCUCGAGUGGCGAACGGGUGAGUAACACGUGAGUAACCUGCCCUUGACUUUGGGAUAACUUCAGGAAACUGGGGCUAAUACCGGAUAGGAGCUCCUGCUGCAUGGUGGGGGUUGGAAAGUUUCGGCGGUUGGGGAUGGACUCGCGGCUUAUCAGCUUGUUGGUGGGGUAGUGGCUUACCAAGGCUGUGACGGGUAGCCGGCCUGGGAGGGUGACCGGCGACAUUGGGACUGCGAUACGGCGCAGACUCCUACGGGAGGCAGCAGUGGGGAAUAUUGCACAAUGGGCGGAAGCCUGAUGCAGCAACGCCGCGUGCGGGAUGACGGCCUUCGGGUUGUAAACCGCUUUCGCCUGUGACGAAGCGUGAGUGACGGUAAUGGGUAAAGAAGCACCGGCUAACUACGUG
rnacentral:rRNA from 1 species